UUUCCGACCAUGAUUUGAAGACGUGGAGCUAUUGAAUACACGUCGCCCCGUGAUCAAUUUGAUAGAUUAUUAACGUUUACUAAUACCUAAAGUUGGAUUACAAAAGCAUUUUGAAGUGUUUUGUGAAAGUUUAUAGGCAACUUUUUUUAUUUAAAAAAAUGACGUUGCGUUUUGAAACUGUUUUUUUCUGGAUCACACAGUUUUCAUAGAUGGAUAUUUUGGGUAUAUAUGGACCGAUUUAAUCGAAAAAAAAGACCCAAUAGUGAUGUUUAUGGGACGUAUAGGAGUGCCAACAAAGAAGCUCGUCAAAGCGCAGACAGACUACCCAGUAAAUAUGCCACUUCAUGGAUAAAGGAAUUCCUGCGUCAGUCUCAUCCAUUCCUCUGUCACCUGACCCGUGACCCGUGACCACUUGUUCACCUUCACUGUCCGUCAUCCUAACUGUCCCGUACCCACACAGAUUUCAAUAAUCUUUCAAUGAUCCUUUAAGCUGGAUGAUGACUGAAACAAAGACAGGUGAAGAGGAAAUGGAGGAGGAGAAGGAAGAAUUGUCUCCACUGGAAGGAAGGAGAGAGGAGGAAAGAGCGGCUGAGGGAAAAGUAUUGGAACAAAUAAGCCUAAAGCCAGGAGAUAAGCCUAAAGCAACAAAGGCUUUAUCCACAACCACCAGCAGCACCAGAAGAACCAGGCAACAAUUGAGCAGACAAGCACCUGGUUAUCUUAAGGAUUAUGUGGUGGAGAAUCCCAGACCAAAGGGCAAGCCCACCGGAGCUCAACUGUACGUUUCAGUCCCCUUCGAGCCAAGGAUGGCAAACUGCAGGAAAGUGGUCUACAGGAAGAACCCAUGGAGGAGGUAACUCCCACCGCACAGGUUGACCAGCUUCCCGAGGCGGGCUCCCAUUCACCCUUAAGUAAUGGGAAAUUGUUGAGGAACUCUAGACGGAGUGAGAGUUCGACCAGUGGAUACCCCUUUGGAAGUGGCAAUGGCAGCCGCCAUUCACUAGCCCUCAGCGAUUCCCAGACCGCUGUCCUACGAGAGAGGAUGAAACCACUAGCGUUGGAGGAAAUUGAGCAUCAGAUUGAGGAGGAAAGACAGUCUGAUUAAUGAUGUCACCUAUUGGAUGUGCAGGCCCGUAGUGCUCUGCAGAAAUGGGAAUUCAUUGCCAAGGACUUGGCACAGCAGCGACGGCACCAUCAAGCAAGAAGGGAAUUGGAGGAGGCAUGGAUGGUCUCAUCCUUCCUGGAGAGGAACAAACAGGGAGUUGACCUGACCACAACUCCACAUGGACCUGACCUGUCUGCCUUUCUUUCCGAAUCUACUCCUCUGGUACAGCAUGGCACACAGUCACCGGAGGAUCCGAGGUCAACAGCCAACACGGAGCACGUGGGACAGGCCGCUCCAACAACGCCCUCUAUGCCAGUGCCACAAGUUAGCAUUCUACCUUCAUCUAGACAAAGCACCACUCCUUCAUCUUUCCGCCAAUUGUCAACCAUGGCAAAUCGUUCCUCUCAUCCAGGGCCUGGAUCAGGCCAGUCAUCAACCAUCAGGUGGGAGGGCUCUCACCCAAUUCAGGCUGCCACCAAUGGAGGAGGGUCUGGGACAGAAGGGGACAGGCUCAAUGAGGCCACAGUGAGUUCAUCAGCAGUCCUGGGUGUAUCCUUCACGCAACCAAAAGGAGCCAACAUCAUGAAACUGCUAGUAUCCUCAGCCUAUGGAAUUCCCAGACACAAACUGCCAUACUUUGAGAGUGGAAAGGCCAGUGAUUUUGUCCUUUUGGUAAUGGCAGUGAAGAGCCUACUGGGUAUUCAAAGUAAUCUGUCAGAACGCUACAAAUACCAAGUACUGAUGGAUCACUUGCGGUUUCCCAGUGCUCACAGGCUGGCCAAAUCAUUUAUGCACUCCGCAACACCACGCACUGCUGCUAUCCAGGCCCUGAAAGUGAAAUAUGGUGAGCCACGCCAGCUAGUCCAGAAUGAACUAAACAACAUCCUCAAUACGUCUCCAACCAAAUGGGAGACCAUGCUGCCUUCCAAGAGUUCUCCCUUGCUGUCCAAUCCCUGACCUCGAUACUCCAAUCCAUUGAAGGAGAAGAUGGGAACGAGCUGAAAUGUGGCUCCCACAUGGACAGGCUUCUUAACUUCUUGAGGUACAGGGGGCAGCAUUUUCAGUUUUGGAUAAAUAGCAUGCCCAAUUUCAGCUUCCUGCUACUCAUACCAGGAAUAUAAGAUAUGCAUAUUAUUAGUAGAUUUGGAUAGAAAACACUCAGAAGUUUCUAAAACUGUUUGAAUCAUGUCUGUGAGUAUAACAGAACUUAUGUAGCAGGUCUCUGUCUGUUCACUGACUUUUCAUUGGCAAAUGAUAUUUCUUAGAAACCUUUUUUCAGUUCCUACCACUUCCACUGGAUGUCACCAGUCUUUGGAAUUUGGUUGAGGUUAUUCAUUUGUGCAAUGAAAAAGUAGGCCAUCUAGGAACUGGGUAACACUGUUGAGAGUUGCGCAAGAUGUGAAAAGUGGCAUGGUUUGUUGACUGCCUAUUUAUCUGUACAUG
ensembl:lncRNA